rnacentral:rRNA from 1 species
CAAUGCGCUCCUGCGCAUGCCGCUCCCACUCCUUCCCAUCCCGAACAGGACAGUGAAACGACUUUGCGCCGAUGAUAGUGCGGGUUCCCGUGUGAAAGUAGGUCAUCGUCAGGC